AAGAGGAGAGCACGUAGGGGCUAGCACAGACGUGUCAGCCAAUGCAGGGUCCCUUCACUGGGCUGUCUUGUAACUGCAAUGGUUUAAUGUAAGAACGCAGUCAGGCACCUGACGGGAGAGAUCAAACAGCUGGUUUAUGGAUCUCCAGAGUGAAGUUCAGCGUGACAGCUAGAUCCCACGUGCAUCGCCCCUGUCCUCUAAGCGAAUGUGGCCUGGAACUUGGCAAGGCUAACACAGAGUUCAGGAUAUUUCACACUCCUGUGUCUGGAUGGAGAGAGAGAUUCCAGACCGGGCGCUCCUAGGGAAACCUAGGGGAUCCGGGGGGACCUGUCCGUACAACUAGGCAGCGUACACAGAGGGUCAGGCUGAUGCAGCCAGCCCCAUUUCCGCCCCACCAUCACCGCUGGAGCCCAAUUCCCCCAAUCGCUCUGUGUGGCUGCAGCAGGCUGCCCUAGCCAAAGGCGCCUGAUCUGACAGAGCAGUGUCAAAAGAAGACAUGACUCUAAAGAAACAAUGACUGGUCAGAGGGACAGGGCAUAAGGACGCCUUUCCAGGAGAGACAAUCUCCUCUCUCUCCGUGACUCUAUUUCUUCUGCACCCCGAUGCUUCCACCCAGGUGGCUCUGGGAGAAGCAACGACUCAUAGGAAUGUAACUGUCAGACUCAAACACACUCCUAAAAAAGGCGACACCAGACCAGCAUCCCGGGCUCGUUCCGUGCUACUCUGGGAACUAGGAGGCGAGUCAAGGCCAGGCUAACUCCCCCGCGUGUUCUUUGCUUGUCUGAGAACCAAGCGCUUUCCCGAGCUGCUGCCCGUGGCGCUGGCUUGCAACCAGGGACCCACACGUGCUCCCACCUGAACACAGCCCCUCCGCCCAGCAGCGGCCCGGAGAGACGGGCAGGUGCUGCCCUUGUCACAGGAAAGACGCGAGGCGCUGGGUUGCCUGACAAUUGGCUUCUCUCCCUCUCCUGUGCGGGCACAGCCACACCAACUACAAGAUCGGCCAGGGGCACGUGCUUUGCAGGGCUGCACGGAAAGGCGCAGGGCUGGAGCCUAACCCCUUCCCCGGCAGUCAAUGGGGGUUUUGCCCCAGGAGGGGCUGGAGAGUGAAGACUCCAUCAUCCUAUUUCCAGCCUUGAUCCUUCCCCGAGCUCCCGGCGGGCGGUGAGACCCCGCACAACACGAGCGCCGGGAGAGGUCCCCCGUGUCAGGGUGUAGCUGACAGUGGGGGGCCACAACAGAUGUAUAAAUCCUGUCCAGACAGUCUUAUAAACUCCUGGGGAAGGACUGACAGCAGAUUGGCGGGGAUCCGGAUCCGGAUCGGUUCAGUACCAGGACAGGGUCCUUGCUGACAAUGUUCCCCCAGAGCUGGCCCCUUCCUGCUCACGGAGGGGAUCCAAGCUCAGGAAUGGGCCCGUGGUUCCCCUCAGCGCAUCAGCCUCCACUGGGCUGUUGCACUUCGCAGCCACGUCCUCAUUGCGGGUGCUAGCUCAGGGGAGAGAGAGGAAAAGGAUAAGGCAGGGCUUUGCCCUCCCCUGUCCAUCCAACAGGGCAGGGUCUAGGGAAGGCAGGUUGUGUAGUUGGAUGUGGGCUAUGGGUUUUUUUAAGAGCGGGUCACUUGGUCCUGCAAACAAUCGCCCUGUUCACCGCUAUGGAAGCCGUGUGUCGAAGCAACCGCAGCUCCCCCAGCGGGGGUGUCACCGUGUGGAAGAGCUCACCGGAUGUCAAAGGAGAGAAAACUCAGUCUCAGUGGGGGGCAGGCUGCUGGUUAUACCUGUUGGGGCUCCCCCGGGCAGCCAGUCGUGCUCAGGAACCCCAUCCUACAGUGUCAUGCAGGGAUCGACACGGAUCUGUGCCGACUUCUCUCUCGUGAGAGCAGGAUCGGGGCCUCGGGUGGCGGAGAGAGUCCCGGACCCCUGUUACACUUGCUAGGUGUAGCUGCGAAACACCUUUGGGGGCAGCUCCUCAGAUGGUGGGAAUGGACAGAGCUGAAGUCAAUGCCAAUUCACACCAGCUGAGCGAUCAGACCCGCCAAAGGGGGAGGGGGAUACCCAAACCCAAGCGCCUUAAAGUGCAGCCCUGCUCGCAAGAGAGCGCCCAGUAACGCGUACUGAUUAUUGUCUAGCUGCGGUAAAAAAACAACCCACCAUCCCCAGCAUUAAGUGUAAUUCACAGCUGCUUGGAGGCAACCCCCGCUAGUGUUGGGGAAGAGGAGAGAGAGAUUUAGGAGCUGAACUGCCCAGACAUGCCCUUGGACUGAGGUUACAAAGAGCCAGCAUCAGCCAUUGCUGAGCGGAGUGGAAAACAACGCAAAUCAGGUGAUGUGCCCUACCGAUCGAUCCUGGUUCAUUCCACGCAAGCUGCCCAGUGAAACUGAAAAUCCUUCAACGCGGAGCGAGAUUCACCCGGUAUUCGCUCCGAAUCACAAGUCACUUCAAACAGAAAGGCUUGUGUGCAGAACAGCGCGCCCCUUGCCUUUUAAACAAGCGAGAACUGGAGCAGCAGGACGAGUGUCCCGAGCUGAAAAUGCACAAAACAAUCCUAAUGUGUGCCUCCCACGAGACGAUAUUUCCAGACUAUCUGUGCCUGCUCUAUCUAGAGCUCAAAUGGGUCCCUAUUGGUUCCCUAAUGCCACCUAACCCCCUCCCCCCCCAAAUUCAAAUCCAAAUCUACACUAGCCCCAUGGAGUAUGUUGUCGCUCCACACUGAAAGACUUUGCAGGUUCCUGGAAAGGACUGUACACUUUUAAAACCUUUCCCAGGCUUUCCAAACCAACAGCCAGGGGACACACUGUACCUCGAUUCGCUUCCCUCUUCCUGCGUAAAUUAAGUGGAAGGGAAACAAACGGGAAAGAUGGCUUCAGGAAACACUUCAUUUCAAACAUUCGCUAGCCAAGUCUUGCUAAACCCCGAAAUGCGCCCUCUCUUUUGCUAUGUCGGCCUUCAAUGAGACAAGGAGCAUACAUAAUCCUAUUUCUCCUUUCUUUUGUACAGAAAAGCAUUUCAACCAUUUUUAAAGGAUAACAUAGGAACCUUUUCCCCAGCCCCCGAGCAGUGAUCAAAUACCAGUUAAAUAAACGGGAACCAACAUUUCCCCAACAGGGGAAAGCCCCAGAGAAAUAAUUACCUUUCUACCUGUUUAGAGUGAAUUCUCUGUCUUUUUCACAGGGUGUCGAUCUCAGGUGCCUAAUGCGACCUACAAGCGAGGUUAAUUUCCGCAGGUAACCCUGGAGAGAAAAUCAAGACAAAAGGCUUGCUGGGAGGGAAGAGUGGUGGGAUGGAGGAGAGCAGAGGCUGGACGAGAAUAAGUUCACAUAUAUUCUCUCGUACCUCAGCCGAACUCCAAUGGCAGGGGGAAUAUGGGAUCAUCCACGGGUUUCAAGAUCUCAGCAAUUUAUAUCGUCUGCUUCUCCUCAGCUCCUGAAUACAUUGCACACCACCAAGCGGGCGCCUGGUCACAGAUAAAGGUGUAAAGCAUUUUUUCCAAGUAACAACUAUUUUAAUUUGUAGAGAAACAAAUUGCUUGGCAGUGACUAAAGAUUUGUGGUUUGAAUUUCAAAUGGAUCACCUGGCACAAAGUUAUUAGAGCCUUUCCACACUGACCCUGGCUUGUAAUUUGCUUUAACAAUUUUGUUGAUAAAGAAUUUAUUUAAGAUUUCAAACUCAUCUUUGCCCCACUCAUGAGUGACUCUCAGAUAGGGACUUUCACAGCAAUCAAGCUGUAUAAAUCUGAUGGAAGAUGGGAUGGAGUCUGAGCAGAGUGGGAGUCUGUUAUUAUCAUUAUUAAGGGAAUACAAUCAAAUAAGUGGUAGUAAUAAUUCUGCCCUUGUCCCUACUGAUUUUCAUCUCAUAAUCUCAAAGAAUUUUGCAAACAUUAUUGUAACUUUCCACUCUCCCGGUGAGAUAGGUAAGUACUAUUGUACCCAUGCUCCAGCCAGGAAAACUGAGGUACAGAAAGGUGAAAAUUAUCACCCCCAUUCUACAGAUAGGGACACUGAGGAGGAUUAGACUCUGGGAGCUGCUGAGCCCCUCAACUUUGAGUAAAGUCAUUGGGAGACAUGGGCAUGCAGCUCUUCUCAGUAGAUGCUCAACAUUGUGUAGGAUUUGGCCCAGGCAGCUAAAGGGACUGAUCCUGGUCCACCGAGGUCAAUAGGAGUUCUGCCAUUAAUUUCAAGGGGAGCAGGAUUGGGCCUUGGCCCUGCAAGCACUUAGACAUGUGAAAACUCAAGGGGACCUUUCUCUUGUGGCUAAUGGUACCUCUAGGUAUAAGGGCUUGCAGGGUUGGAGCCUUAAGGGCAGAGCAAGUUACUGACAAAGCUAGAAAUAGAAUCCGUGAGCCUGCGCUCAACCCCCUCCUCUCCAUCUGCCCACUCUCCACCUUCCACCUGCGUGCAAGUGUGUGUGUGUGGUGGGGAAUAUUUCAUGCUAACAAAAUGGAAAAUACCAGACUUGUAUCUGUUGAACCCUUCAGCUGGUGCUCCGGAUCCUCCGGCUGCCCCCUUUGCCUGGCAGAGGCCAGCCCAGCGAGGCAGGGAGUUGUGGUUGAAUGCUAAGCUCACUUUUCGUGCUGUCCCACUUACAUUUGGUUUCCACCCUGCAUAGUCUCCUCCCCCAGCCCAAAGGCAAUAAAUGAAAUGAAACAAAAAAAGAGGCUAUUUUGGUAUAUUAGCCUCCUUGUGGCCAGGUGAAAGGUUAAAUUCACAUGAUUCAUUGGAGGCUGAGAGACAGCACUUUGUUGCUAGGAUUUUGGGGAAUGCGGAGGGCUCCAGCGAAGGAGUCUGAGUAAUCUUUAAGGGAGAGAGCCAGGCUCCUGUCUGACGGCUGCAGGCCCAGCAGUUCUGUGUUUCAUUUCAGACUGUCACUCUCCUAUCUCUCAGCUCACUCCCAGCUCCAGCUUGCUGCCAGAUCUGGGGAACUGUUAACUCAGACAAAUUUAUAGAUGGAAAAAGAACAGUUAGCCAUUGUUCAGUGGGGCGGGGGUGGGGGAGAGAGCAGGGCUUCAGCCAUCUAAGUCAUGAUGUAACAUGGUUAUUACAUGGCCCCGGGGAGACGUGCCAAGGGUCUUUCUCCUCCCUGCCCCAUCAGGGAAGCUGUCACCAUUGCACAGCUCCUAAAAAUGGGACUUGGGCUUCAAAGCCACUUAGGCGCUUUGGAAAAUUCUGUUGUAAGUGACCAGUUUCUCCUCACCUGGCAUCUUGGGGACUGGACUCAGUGUUGCCGAUUCUCACCAGUUUUAUCAUGAGGCUUGUGAUUUUUUUCUUAAAGCCUCAGUCACUGGAGUCAUGUGAUUACCCCAGAAUCCCACCUUUCAUGGAAACAAAAGCCUCUUAGGUGAAAAGACGUUUCUAAUUCUAAACUCAAUCAGGUGUCUGGAAAAUGGAGCUACAUUUCCCCCUCUUCUUUUCACAUCAUCUCCAGCCAUAUAAGGUUCGUGUAUUCUUAACACAGUUGCCCAUGUGAAGGGUCUGGCUUCACCGCUUAACAUGGGUGAUUGACAGUCAACUUGGCCUAUCUCAGUGCGAACAUUAGCACAGCAUGUUACUGGGUAUUCACUGGUUCUGCACUCAACCUGGGUGUGUCUGAGGGCAUAUCCCAUAAUUUUUUGUGCCAAGAUGCUCUAGGAUUCUUUCCCAGUCAAUUGUGUCAAUUGCAGAGAACUUGUCUGUCCUGCAGGGGGAUUAUGGGAAGGCACUGGAGGACUGUCAACACUCAAGUGAUUUAGCCGGCGUCUGCACUGUGAAAUGGACAGGUUCCAGCCCAAAUUAAGCUGGAGACUGGGUUCUAACAGCCCAGCUGGGUAAGCUAGUCUGGGCUUAAAGUACCUAGAAACCUGGGCCGCUAGUUUGGGCUAAUUCUUCUUCCAAAUUUAUGGUGACUCGGCACUGCUGAGAGCUGCAGAAACCUAUAUUCAGCCGUAAACUAAGCAGCUAUGACUCUGAAGACACAGAAGGAGAAAUUAAGUCCGCUCCCAUUUUUACCAUCACUUUCCUCAGCACAUUUUAACUGCAGUGUAGCUGGACACAUGCAUGUUCACAUUAUAAAACCUGUCAGCUGUGAUAGUAACGGUCAUUCAUUAUCUAAGAAUCCAUUCCUAAGAGAACUCAUUGAAUCAAAGCACUGACAUUGCACAGACACACACACCCACAUGAAUGUAUCCAGGUCUGAGUUCAAAUCUGGUGCAAGGCCACUGAUGUUAAUGAAGAUACACCCCAGAGAUGAAUUUCAGCAACGUCUUUACCGUGGGCUAAUUUUCAGUCUGCACCUCUCUCCUCAUUUCACAUAGAUAGAAAUAAUUUUCCAUGAGGGAGAAGUGGCACCCCGACGCCUCCUGAGCAAGAUAGCGAUGAUGAGAUAAAUAUUCAGUGCAGCCACCCCUAGCCAUUGUAGCGAAAUGGAACAUUCUUUGCAUUACUUGGCCAGAUGAUUUUUAUACCAUCAUGUCUAACAUGCUUUUCUGCCUUAGGUCCUUUACCUACAUUCUCAGACGAAUGGUUUUAUUUCUCAAUUUCUCCAACACAUCUCAGCUCCUCUGGCUUUGUCCGGCACACCCUCCAACCACAUCUCUAAACCGUUCUCAUGGCCUCACUACAGCUCUUUGGCUGCAUCUCUCACCUGACCUAACCUCAUUUUUCAGUCCCUCACCAUUGACAUCCCAACCUCAGUGACUGCAUUUUUCCUUUGGCAGAAAAGUCUAGCUUCCAGGAGUUUGAACAGACUCCCCUGGAGUGAGAACAGUUUGGGAUGGCUAUUCCAUCUAUACCAAUGAUCUAAGUCUCUCUGGCUAGCCAGAGGAAUAUUUCAUCAUGCAAUGUGUUGUCUUAGCCUCUUCUAGGCAAGCCAUUGUUUUAGUGAAAACAAUUUCAUUCUGUCCCAAACUCUCAAGAGUGCACAUACUAAACUAUGUUCACACAAGUCAAGGAUUCAUGCCCAUGGGACUGGCACUCUGUUGGCUGACACACGGGGGUAUUGAAAAGGGGAAUUCCAGCCAUUAAAGCUUGAGGUGCUACAGUUUACGCUAAAAAGCCAGGGCUCUGUAACUGGGGACUGUAAGAACUCAUAGUCCAUGCAGAUCAGACUAGAGGAGGACUUGUAAAACACACUGCCAGAGGGUUUCUCACACACACACACACUUUGUGCACAUGCUCUGGGCACUGGUUGCACACAAGUCAGGAGUGUGCAAAAGUAAACAUGUACCUUUGAACAACUGGAGCCCAUAGUGGGAGGUUCACUGUAGAUGGAACUGCACUUUGCACGCUGUGCAUUGACACAAUCCUGGAUUUUCAUUAUUUCACUACAAGUAGAGUUUCAGUACCUGAGUGCGGUAUCUGGGUUCACCAUAAGUGUGUUCCACACACAGAUCUAGGUGUGUAUAGGAACAAGUAGGGCUGAUCUGGUUGAGCUGCUGCGUAUGGUCAUGUGGGAGACCUUGGUUCGCUUCUGGGUCCUGCUCCAUUUGCUUCCACAAUUUGAAAGGCCUGGGAACACUGAGAGGGAACAUCCUGUCUUACUCAGCAAUCCUCUCUCUCUCCAGCUAACGGACAAGCCGUGGUGGUUGGUUCCGAGGGGAGAUUCCGCCCAACCCUUUUCAUUCAGAAGGAUGCUAGCUUGCUGCGACAGGGUGACGCACUAGUAUGCGUGUCAAGGGGGAGGCGAGUGUAAAAGACAGGAAAAUUGUGAGAUGCUUUGGGACACAAAAGACCCUAAAAACAAAUGCAUAAAGUAGAAGAACCACGUUCUUCUCACAGCUACACUGGUGCCAGCCAGGUGGCUUCAGUGGAGCUGCAUAAGUGCAAGUGAGAGGAGAAUUUGGGUGGCUAGCUGUAAAUAUGCACAAGGCCUUCAUGUUGCUAAAUACAUUUUGAAAGUGAUUUCUCUUAUUGCAGAUGAGUCCUUUCAGGGCCAGACAGGAAGCAGAACUUACCUUGUUUAGAUAAACCAGCUGAACGAGAUAAAGUCUAAUGACAUUUUAAUCCUCCAACACAUUUGAUAUUCAGAAGCAGUGGAUAGAGCAUUGGACUAGGAUUGAACGCAUUGAGUUCUAGUCACAACUCUGCUACUGAUUUACUGCGUGAUCUUGGGCAAGUCACCUCACCUUUCCGUGGCUCGAUUUCUCCACACCCUUCGUCUGUGAUGUUGUAAGUUCUCCAAGGCAGGGGCUGUCUCUCAUUGUGUUUGUACAGCACCCCCUAGCAUAGCGGGGCUCUGUUCUCAGCAGGGGGAGUCUAGGUGCUACCAUAAUACAACUGCUAAAUAAUAAACAUUUGUCAUGACAGAAUGAGGAUCCUCCCUGAAGAAAAGCCCAGCCUUCUAUUUUAAAAACUACAAAAGUCUUCCUACUGCUUAUGCAUCCCCACAGCCUCAUAGGGUUAGAAGGGACCUCAGGAGGUCAUCUAGUCCACCCACCUGCUCAAAGCAGGACCAAUCUGCAGACAGAUUUUUACCCCAGAUCCCUAAGUGACCCCCUUAAGGAUUGAACUCACAACCCUAGGUUUAGGAGGCCAAUGCUCAAACCACUGAGCUAUCCUUCCCCCACUCACAGCCAAUUAGUCCAGCGCUCACCCAUUUAGAGUAGCAAACGGUGUAACCAGCACACUAAUGCCAAAUACCACUCACUGUGGCAGAUGCCAAUGUUUUAACGGUGACCCUUACAUGUACGAGGCAUGGGUUCCAAUAGAGAAACAAUUCUGUUUAUAGGUUCAAAUCCAGACCCUAGCCAGGGCUGUGCAUAGGGGAAAGAAUCUUCUUCCAGGCCAUAGAGGUGCUCCCUGAUUGCAACUGCAGCCGUGAAGCUGCAAUAGCCGAUGUGGAUCUAAUCCAACCAUCUAUGGUUGGGAAGAGGAUGGAAAUAUCAACCCGAACAGCAGAUCCGCAUGCCGACAUGCACAGAUCCACCAUGGAGCUGAGCUUUAUGGGGCAUAAGGUGGACACAUACCUUAGGUGACUGUCCCUAAAUCCUGCUUCCUCUAUGUGUAGUGGAGCCACUAAUUUGGUGGCCAGGGGCACUCUGUGGCUGUGGAGGAAGGGCCAGGAACUGGCGCUUAAUGGACAACUUUUAACAUCCAAUAACUCGCUUCUGCAAUUCCACAGAGCCAAACUGAAGAGAGUCAUGUGUCAUUAAGGGCCAUUGGAACUACCCAUGAACAUGCACAAGUGUUUGUAGGACCCUAAUUCUGUUUCUCAUGAAGGGAAAGAAAGUUAGUAACCUGUUUGUUCCAUCCCACUUUAACUGGACCAGGCUUUGCUUUCAGCAGCCAAAACCCUCGGCCAGGUAUUCAAAAAUCUUCAGCUCAACAUUUGGUUGGCCAAUCAUUUCUAAGAGCAAGGUGUUGGGGUCACUUGUGCCAGAACCUUACGCUAAUCUGCAUACAAUCAUUACUAUGAGUUGAAGUUGAGGUCACCAAUGAAUAGUAUGUUUUAAGAGCUUGUUGAUCAAACAGAAUUUACAGACCAGGACAGUUAUUGACAGGGCUGACAAACGUGAUGUUGCAAUGAUUUACAGUCCAGGUGUGUGUUGUCAGAACAAGAUAUUUACCUGAGAUUCCAAGAACAGUUAAAUGUUAAUCUUUAAAGACCUUUCCUAACUAGGGCUUUUCUGCAAUGUCUUGGGAGGUUCGCAACUUCUGGUCCAUUUGCAAAUAAUCAGAGAAACGAUCCUGAGUUUAAGAACCUUCAGGGGAAAAUAAUAGCAGAUGUAGUCAUUUACAAUGUUUUUAAUGGAUAUGAAACUUGUAAGGUGAAUUGACAGAGGUGGCCUUACUCUCAUUCCAAAAGUAUAAUUCGCCAUCACGCACUGCCUAGAAUAUAUACACAUUAAUCAGGAUUAUCUCUGAACAUCUAGCAGGCUGAGAAUAUGGAUCCUGGAGACGUCAGCAAGAGAUUUCAUUAGAAGAGACAGCAAGUGCUUGGAAAUGGGAAAUGUAUUCUAUUAUAAACACAGCCUGCACUGAGGCUGACCCUAAGACUGCACAGAAUUGGCUGGAAAGACAAAGAAAGCUGAAAAUGAAAACUCUGUUCAUAUGUAACAGAUUUCAUUUAUUGUAACAAAAUCCGGCUUAAAAGUCUCCUGUAGUUUUUCUUAACGUUCAGAAUGGCAAGAACCCUUACUCUGAAUAUUCAAUAUUUAUCUCUGCUGAUGUGCAGAAGCUUGCUACAUGAUCAGAGCAUUAACAAAUUUCCUGUCACAUAUUGCAGAAUAUUUAUUACUAGCUCCUAGGCCUUACUAGAUACUUCAGUUUUGCAAAACAUGCCGUGGAUGAGAUUUUAUAUUUACAGUUAAAAGAUCCACUCUGAGAAUAUUUAGGGAUUUUGUGCUGAUUUUUUCUUUGUUAUCAAUCCUUCCUUGAUGUUAUCUAAUUUGCCUACUGGGUAAAAUUUAAAAGAACUCCUAACAGUCAGUAUGAAAAGAACCCAGCAGGCUAACAUUGACUCGGUCCUCAGAUCUAUUAGCUGUAAAUUACUUUAACAUGAGUGACAUCACACUUGACUCUUGGUAAAACAGUGUUAAGUUAGUGGGUAAUAAAACAGCUUGACACUAAUGAUGGGUUCUGGGUGAUAAAUUACUGUCAGUGAUCAGAUAAGGGUUCCUGAGACUAACCUUGAACUAAAUCUGGUUUGUUGCUACAUCUUGUGUGCAGUGUUCGAACUGGGAAGAUGAAGGGCGAAGGGCCCAAUCCUGAUCACCUCUCACAGACGUGGUCUUAAUGUUCAGAGUAGACCUACUCUCAAUAGUCUUACUUUUGCAAGUAAUGAUUACUCAUGUAAGGAAACAUUUGCAGGAGCACUUCCCAUCCCAAACACUGGGGAUACUCAUAUGAGUAAAGCAAGGAGGAAUUGGCCCUAAACUUGAAACCAUCAGCCCAGUUCUGCAGUCCUUAUGCUAUAGACUCCAAUGUAGGAGCUUUGCUUGAAUAAGUACUCAUAUUAUUUAUAUUUUAAAAAACAAUAUUCAAAAUAGGGGCCUGAUUCUGCAAGUUGCUGAGCCCUUACGGGGGGUUGCUGAGUAUUUUCAACUCCCAUUUAUUGGUGCAGGAAGUGUUGGAUGAAAUUCCAUGGCCUCUGUUACACAGGAGAACUGACCAGAAAUCUAUGAAUCCCAGAGAGGUCAAUAAGAAUUGAAGGCACUCAGCACUUUGCAGGAUUGGCCCCUAAUUCACUAGGCUUGUUUUCCUUACAGAGAUUUGGGGAAAACUCUGUAUACCGAGUUCUGAGCCAGCCAAUGUCAAUGAAACCACAUGAGAUUUGGAAUGUUUUUGACAUCUAUUUUCUUUGGAAACUAACCAAGGUGUUCUUAGGAAACAGCUUCACAAAUUGUUUUACAUUAUUAUUGUUAUUGAAUGCUUGAUUUUAAUGUACCAUUCAGGUAACAUGCUCUGUAGAUGGUCUGUGUAUUAGUUCUUAUAUAAACUACUGUAUUAAAACA